AGUGAACGCUGGCGGUAGGCCUAACACAUGCAAGUCGAACGGCAGCACAGUAAGAGCUUGCUCUUACGGGUGGCGAGUGGCGGACGGGUGAGGAAUACAUCGGAAUCUACUUUUUCGUGGGGGAUAACGUAGGGAAACUUACGCUAAUACCGCAUACGACCUACGGGUGAAAGCAGGGGAUCUUCGGACCUUGCGCGAUUGAAUGAGCCGAUGUCGGAUUAGCUAGUUGGCGGGGUAAAGGCCCACCAAGGCGACGAUCCGUAGCUGGUCUGAGAGGAUGGUCGGCCACACUGGAACUGAGACACGGUCCAGACUCCUACGGGAGGCAGCAGUGGGGAAUGUUAGACAAUGGGCGCAAGCCUGAUCCAGCCAUACCGCGUGGGUGAAGAAGGCCUUCGGGUUGUAAAGCCCUUUUGUUGGGAAAGAAAAGCAGCAGGUUAAUACCCCGCUGUUCUGACGGUACCCAAAGAAUAAGCACCGGCUAACUUCGUG
rnacentral:rRNA from 1 species